GUGAAAGAGGAGAGGAGGAGAGAGAAACAGGAGGAGGAGGGGAGGGGAGGGGAGGGGAGAGAACAGGAGGAGGAGGAGAGAGAGGUGAGGGGAGAGAACAGGAGGAGGAGGAAGAGGGGGAGGAGAUAGGUGAGGGGUGAGAACAGGAGAAGGGGGAGGAGGAGAGAGAGAGGUGAGGGGUGAGAACAUGAGAAGGGGGAGGAGGAGAGAGAGAGAGGUGAGGGGCGAGAACAGGAGAAGGGGGAGGAGGAGAGAGAGAGGUGAGGGGAGAGAACAGGAUGAAGAGAGAGAGGUGAGGGGAGAGAACAGGAGGAGGAGGAGGAGAGAUAGAGAUAGAGUAAUAGGAGAGGAGAGGUGAGAGGAGAGGAGAGGUAAUGUAAUAAGAGAGGAGAGGUGAGAGGGGAGGUAAGGUAAGGUAAUAGGAGAGGAGAGGUGAGAGUAGAGGAGAGGUAAUGUAAUACGAGAGGAGAGGUGAGAGGAGAGGUAAAGUAAUAGGAGAGGAGAGGUGAGAGGAGAGGUAAGGUAAUAGGAGAGGAGAGGUGAGAGGAGAGGUAAGGUAAUAGGAGAAGAGAGGUGAGAGGAGAGGAGAGGUAAGGUAAUAGGAGAGGAGAGGUGAGAGGAGAGGUAAGGUAAUAGGAGAAGAGAGGUGAGAGUAGAGGAGAGGUAAGGUAAUAGGAGAGGAGAGGUGAGAGGAGAGGUAAGGUAAUAGGAGAGGAGAGGUGAGAGGAGAGGUAAGGUAAUAGGAGAGGAGAGGUGAGAGGAGAGGUAAGGUAAUAGGAGAAGAGAGGAGAGGAGAGGUAAGGUAAUAGGAGAGGAGAGGUGAGAGGAGAGGUAAGGUAAUAGGAGAGGAGAGGUGAGAGGAGAGGUAAGGUAAUAAGAGAAGAGAGGUGAGAGGAGAGGUAAGGUAAUAGGAGAAGAGAGGUGAGAGGAGAGGAGAGGUAAUGUAAUAAGAGAGGAUAGGUGAGAGGAGAGGUAAGGUAAUGGGAGAGGAGAGGUGAGAGGAGAUGUAAGGUAAUAAGAGAAGAGAGGUGAGAGGAGAGGAGAGGUAAUGUAAUAAGAGAGGAUAGGUGAGAGGAGAGGUAAGGUAAUGGGAGAGGAGAGGUGAGAGGAGAUGUAAGGUAAUAAGAGAAGAGAGGUGAGAGGAGAGGUAAGGUAAUAGGAGAAGAGAGGUGAGAGGAGAGGUAAGGUAAUAGGAGAAGAGAGGUGAGAGGAGAGGUAAGGUAAUAAGAGAAGAGAGGUGAGAGGAGAGGUAAGGUAAUAGGAGAAGAGAGGUGAGAGGAGAGGAGAGGUAAUGUAAUAAGAGAGGAUAGGUGAGAGGAGAGGUAAGGUAAUGGGAGAGGAGAGGUGAGAGGAGAGGUAAGGUAAUAAGAGAAGAGAGGUGAGAGGAGAGGUAAGGUAAUAGGAGAAGAGAGGUGAGAGGAGAGGAGAGGUAAUGUAAUAAGAGAGGAUAGGUGAGAGGAGAGGUAAGGUAAUGGGAGAGGAGAGGUGAGAGGAGAUGUAAGGUAAUAGGAGAGGAGAGGUGAGAGGAGAGGAGAGGUAAUGUAAUAAGAGAGGAUAGGUGAGAGGAGAGGUAAGGUAAUAGGAGAGGAGAGGUGAGAGGAGAGGAGAGGUAAUGUAAUAAGAGAGGAUAGGUGAGAGGAGAGGUAAGGUAAUAGGAGAGGAGAGGUGAGAGGAGAGGUAAGGUAAUAGGAGAGGAGAGGUGAGAGGAGAGGAGAGGUAAUGUAAUAAGAGAGGAUAGGUGAGAGGAGAGGUAAGGUAAUGGGAGAGGAGAGGUGAGAGGAGAUGUAAGGUAAUAGGAGAGGAGAGGUGAGAGGAGAGGUAAGGUAAUAGGAGAGGAGAGGUGAGAGGAGAUGUAAGGUAAUAGGAGAGGUAAGAGGAGGGUUAAGGUAAUAGGAGAAGUAAGAGGAGAGGUAAUAGGAGAGGUGAGAGGAGAGGAGAGGUAAGGUAAUAGGAGAGGAGAGGUGAGAGGAGAGGAGAGGUAAGGUAAUAGGAGAGGAGAGGUAAGGUAAUAGGAGAGGUAAGAGGAGGGUUAAGGUAAUAGGAGAAGUAAGAGGAGAGGUAAUAGGAGAGGUGAGAGGAGAGGAGAGGUAAGGUAAUAGGAGAGGAGAGGUGAGAGGAGAGGUAAGGUAAUAGGAGAGGAGAUGUGAGAGGAGAUGUAAGGUAAUAGGAGAGGAGAGGUGAGAGGAGAGGAGAGGUAAUAGGAGAGGUGAGAGGAGAGGAGAGGUAAGGUAAUAGAAGAGGUGAGAGGAGAGGUAAGGUAAUAGGAGAGGAGAGGAGAGGUGAGAGGAGAGGUAAGGUAAUAGGAGAGGUGAGGUAAGGUAAUAGGAGAGGUAAGAGGAGAGGUAAUAGGAGAGGAGAUGAGAUGAGAUGAGAGGAGAGGAGAGGAGAGGAGAUGUAAGAUGAGAGGAGAGGAGAGGAGAGGUGAGAGUAGAGGAGAGGUAAGGUAAUAGGAGAGGAGAGGUGAGAGGAGAUGUAAGGUAAGGUAAGGUAAUAGGAGAGGAGAGGUGAGAGGAGAUGUAAGGUAAUAGGAGAGGAGAGGUGAAUCAGGGAAUCGCCCGCAGCAAGAGCAACAUCAUUGAUAUAUACAGAGAAAAGAGUCGGCCCGAGAAUUGAACCCUGUGGCACCCCCAUAGAGACUGCCAGAGGACCGGACAGCAUGCCCUCCGAUUUGACACACUGAACUCUGUCUGCAAAGUAAUUGGUGAACCAGGCAAGGCAGUCAUCCGAAAAACCGAGGCUACUGAGUCUGCCGAUAAGAAUAUGGUGAUUGACAGAGUCAAAAGCCUUGGCAAGGUCGAUGAAGACGGGUAAGAGGAGAGGAGAGGAGAGGUAAUAGGAGAGCAGAGGUGAUAGGAGAGGUAAGAGGAGAGGUGAGAGGAGAGGAGAGGUGAUAGGAGAGGUAAGAGGAGAGGUGAGGUAAUACGAUAGGUAAGGUAAUAGGAGAGAAAAGGUAAUAGGAGAGGUAAGGUAAGGUAAUAGGAGAGGAGAGGUAAUAGGAGAGGUAAUAGGAGAGGAGCGGUGAUAGGAGAGGUAAGAGGAGAGGUGAGAGGAUAGGUAAGAGGAGAGGUAAUAGGAGAUGUAAGGUAAUAGGAUAGGUAAGGUAAUAGGAGAGGAGAGGUAAUAGGAGUGGUAAGGUAAUAGGAGAGGAGAGGUAAUAGGAGAGGUAAUGGGAGAGGUAAGGUAAGAGGAGAGGUAAUAGGAGAGGAGAGGUAAUAGGAGAGGUAAUAGGAGAGGUAAUGGGAGAGGUAAGGUAAUAGGAGAGGAGAGGUAAGAUGAGAGGAGAGGAGAGGUAAUAGGAGAGGAGAGGUAAGAGGAUAGGAGAGGGUC